UAAACCACUACCUUGGCCAAACAAAAUCAGAAGGCCAAAUGAAGUGAAGGGAGAGAAGAAGAAAAGAACAGAAAGGUAAAGGGAGGUGGAAGAAACAUGUCAUGAAGGGCUUUGUGGGCCCCGAGUGAAAUUCGAACCAUAGGAUUUUUGAAUGGAGAAGUACCCGUAGAGCCAAGAGAAUUUCCAGACAAGUUGGAUAUGGGAAUGUACCAACGUUAAGUUGUUGAGAAUAACUCCAAGGAUUUGGGCAUGAGCAGCCAGGAGGCUGGAGUCGCCAUCAUCAGAGAUGGGAAAAGCUAAGUGGACCACCUUGUGGGGAGAUUUUAAUGAGGCUAUUGGCCAUCCGAGUGAAGAUGUUGAGUUUGCAAUUCAUAGGGGAGCCUGGAAUUUGGGAGAUAUGAAUUUGAGAGGUGACAUAUAAAGGGGCAUUUCGGGCA